AACGAACGCUGGCGGCAGGCUUAAUACAUGCAAGUCGAACGGGCGCAGCAAUGCGUCAGUGGCAGACGGGUGAGUAACACGUGGGAACCUUCCUCGUUGUACGGAACAACUCAGGGAAACUUGAGCUAAUACCGUAUAAGUCCGAGAGGAGAAAGAUUUAUCGCAAUGAGACGGGCCCGCGUCGGAUUAGGUAGUUGGUGAGGUAACGGCUCACCAAGCCAACGAUCCGUAGCUGAUCUGAGAGGAUGAUCAGCCACACUGGGACGUGAGACACGGCCCAUACUCCUACGGGAGGCAGCAGUAGGGAAGUCUUGGGACAAUGGGCGGCAAGCCUGAUCCAGCCAUGCCGCGUGAGUGAAGAAGG
rnacentral:rRNA from 1 species